CAUGUGUCUAGGAGAUAUUAGGAACAAGAUUGGAGCACUGUCUCCAAGCCUACUCCAGGCCCUGCCCACCCUGGCCCAGGUACCCACUGAGUGCCAUAGGGCUAGUCCAGCUUACCAGUUCCAAGUUCUGUUGGUUUCUGUCCACCCUUUACCUGCACUACAGAACCUGGUUGGGUGGGCAAUGACACCUUGUAAUAAUGGUACAUGAACCCCACUCAAGACAGUGGGUGCCUGGCCAAGGUCAAAUGUGUGGAGAUGACAGCAUGGUCAUAACUAGGCCUUGGGUCCUGUCAUCCAUGGGAUCUCUAUGAGUCCCAAGAAAUCCAUUUGACAGGAUCCAAGCUCUCUCUACCUGCAGGACCUACUGCUAGACACACUGGAGCUUCCCAGACACUGGGGAAUGUUUCUACAAGUGGGCUAUUUGUUCCCUCCACUCCUGAAAAAAUCAGACAGAAUGGAUUUCUUAGCAUGCUGUAGAGAGUUGGUCGCGUGGAAAAGAGGGAGGGGGGAACAACAGCCACAGGAAACACAAUCUACAGCUGUGAGUUGAUGUGUUUCAAAGGGAGAGAGUGGUGUUCACAGAGUAUGAGUUCUAGCAUACGGUAGUAAGCAACAGCACUGUGAUUCGAACCCAGGUCCCUGAACUCUUUCCAACCCACCACCCAAAGCGGGUGGUGCUCUGGCUUCUCUUCCACAUUGGCACUGGUGCAUACUUUAAAGGUAGGAUGCCUUAUUCCCAUAUUAAGAGUUCGAGUAUUUGUCAGAGAACAGAAAACAGGCGAACUUGGUAAUUAAAACCAGAAUUUUAACAAGUCCAAAAUUAGUUCAAAUUAUACUUCAGGAAUGCCCAGAAAUGUUCUCUUCCUCCUAGGAGACCGCCAUGCCCUAUCUCCUGAGGAAGAAGUAUUCCCCCAACAGUCAAGGCAUAGAUGGUGGUUCUUUUGAUCGGAAAUCGGUGUACCGUGGCUCACUGACACAGCGGAAUCCUAAUGGGAGGAGAGGGACAGCCAGGCACGUCUUCGCGGUAA